AAUUAAGCUAGAAAAGGGCAUCAAGUAUAAAAAUUUUUUAUACUUUUAAAUAUAUCACAAAUAAUUAACUGCCAACUGCUAAUUUCUUCAGUGUAGCAUCUCUUUGUGUGGGGAUAUCAGAACAGCCUUCAUCACACAAACAUUACCAGCUGGAUGACUACUGGGUACCAAUAAACAGGUACCAAGGAUCACCCUAGUGAUGUGUUCAAGCCCUAGGACUUUGGCAGAGAAAAUGGAAACUAGUAUUGUUUUCUUAAUUAUGGUGCCUCAUUUAAAAUGAUUUCUUCCAAGGUUGGGCUUCCCUGAGUUCAUUUCCUUACUUUGUUUUGAAACACAGACAUUCCGUUUUAGAACACCAAGAUUCUAUGGUGGAUUGAAAAGAAACCUAAAUUGGUAUAUUUAAAACUAUGUCUCAGAGAUAUUUUAUUUAAACAAAAGUUGGAACGAGGAGUUCCCAUUGUGCCUCAGCAGGUUAAGAACCCAAAAGAAUGUCCAUAAGGAUGUGGGUUUGACCCCUGGACUUGCUCAAUGGGUUAAGGAUCUGGUGCUGCCACAAGCGGUGACAUAGGUCACUGAUGUGGCUCAGAUCCAGCAUUGCUGUGGCUGUGGCGCAGGUCAGCAGCUACAGCUCUGAUUUGACCUCUAGCCUGGAAACUUCCAUAUACCACAGGUGCAGCCCUGAAAAGAAAAAAAAACUAAUUGGUCAGUUUAAAGCAAGUUCUUUACCCACAGAGACUAUAUUAAACUAUUAAUGUACACAAAGUGUUGACACAUAAUAAAUACUAGCAGCUACUAUUACUACUUCUAUUAUUAUUGCUAUUAUGAUCCUUGCUCUUGAUCCCUCAUAUUCCUAACUUUGGCUUUCCCUGGGCUUAAAAGAGCAGCUCUCCAUUUCUUUAGAAGAGAACAAUGUGGAAGUGUGUUCACUGUUCCUUAAUUCCUUAUCCAUGCAGCCACCUUUUGAUAGUAACUAUUGUUUACAGGUGUAUGCUCUAUAGGAAAUGGUUGAGAAGUCAUGACAUAUAAUAUUUAAAGGUAAAAAUAAAGUCGUAUGAUGGGACUUAUCAGGGGAUUAUCAUGCAACCACCAUGAACCAAGCAUCUGCAGAUGGCUUGCCUGUUAAAAUGUGACCUCUUCAGGGAAGCCUUUCUCAAUUUCCUUGAUGAAGUUUCCAGUUAAACAGUCCAAGAGCUAGCUCCUUACUAGCCCUUGUCACACUGUGAUCAGACAGUUCAUCACACCGUUAUUUGGGGUGUGCUUUCCCUCAUUAGCGGAAGAACUCCAGGAGAACAGGGCCACAUUUGCCUGCUGCAUUCCUUUGAUCUUGUACAGUGUAUGCUCUGGGCAGGGGGACAAAUGAAGAGAUCGGUGACACAGGAAACUACAUUUGCAAAGCACAGUAGAUUGAUUUCUUGCUUUUAUUCCAAGUGUAUAUUUCACUUUUUCCUAUGCUAUCUACGUACCAGUUUAGGCACUGCAAUUAUAAGCAGUCUGCCAUCUCCUUUAGGAUACUGCCUCCUAGUCUUCCUGCAGGUUCUUCUCAUAAUAUUACUUUUCCUCUCUCUUUCUGAGUAAAGUUGAUUUUAUAGUGUAGUCUUGGGAAGAGGUUUGCUUUUUUCCCUGUUAUUUUAUUUUUUCUCCCUCCUGCUCUAGAAACAACAAGAAAAUAUAUCGUACACCUCCCCCCUCCCCAGUUCAAUCAAUAACUGCACUUACAACCCUUUUAAGCUCUUGUGGUUUUUGAAACAGCUCUCAUUGUUUAUCUCUCCACAUAGAAGGUACAAAACAAACCAUAAGGAAAAUUAUCGAACUGCAACCGCAUCAGAUUAUAGAUGUCAGGAGGUGGCAGAACAGGGUAGUUGGUCUAACAAAGGUGGUGCCUAUGGUCAGCCUUAAUACUUUGUAAAUUUGAUAGAAACAAGAUUGUACACUUUUCACAGAAAAGGUCCUCCCUUCCCCUGUAUUCUCUCCCCUACCCCCAGACAUCCUGGAUUUUCCUUAUUUAAGGUGUUUCCUUGCCCAGAGUAAACUCUGAAUUUCUCGCUCCUGAAAUCCUACCCACACCCUAAGGCUGAAACAACACAUUUCCUUAGCUUUCUCCUUCGCAUUUUACAUGCAAUUCCCAUUCCCUCAGCAAGGAUUUCUUAAACAUGGGGUUUUGAGGUAGAUGAGCACGGGUUUAGUGAUACAGUAAUGAACAAGAUAGAGUUGGGGACCCAUGAAGCGGGGAGCCUAGCGAUGACAUGAUAGGUUAAUGUUAUGUUAUCUGCACUGAGCAGCUGUGCUGACGGACAUGCACAGGUAGAGUCUUUUAUCAGCUGUGCUGGCGAAGUAGCUCUGCUGGGGGCGACAUUGCAGUUUAGCUGAUGAAAUGUGGAGAGUCUGGCUGUAUGGGAGAAGGAGCUCUUUAAGGGUGUAGAGAGCACCCUGCCCCGCAGGUGCACAGUGACCUGAGAAGCAAGGACCCAUGGAAGGCAUGGCAGCUGUAAACAGUGCCAGUCCCUCAAACCUGGCUGUCUACAUUGGAACAGUGCCCGGGAGGCCAGGUAAGUAAGCCAGGUGGCAAAGCUGACCUUAUUAGCCAAAAUAUUCAUGCUGCCUGUGCUUUUAUUAUUCUUAAUUGGCAUAUAGUUAAUUUUCAAUAUUGUGUUAGUUUCUGCUCUACAGCAAAGUGAUUCAGUUAUAUGUACAUGUAUAUUUUUAUCAUCUUCUUUUCUAUUAUGAUUUAUCACAGGAUGUUGAAGAGAGUUCCCUGUGUUUACAGUAGGACCUUGUUGUUCAUCCAGUCUAUAUGGAAUAGUUUGCAUCUUGGAUUGAAAGUCCAGGGUGAGCAGAUGCCUGUGUUUUAUAUGGUGAUUUCUCACUGGUUCUCUCUCUCUCAAAAUUUAGGGAAGCCAUAGAAAAGUACAACCUUCUCUUACUUGUAUUAAAAAAAGAUUGGAGGAAAGGAAUUUAAGUACUGAGCACUUUGAAACAAUGUGGCAAGGGAAGUGGUGUCUCUACCAGGGUCGGGAGGAAACUCAGAUAGCUAAAGAUGAGAUGCUUAGUAAAUAAGCUGCCAAGUCUAACUGGGCGUUUCACCUGAGCCAAACCUUUUUUUUUUUUUUUUCUUUUUUCUUUUUAGGGCCUCACCUGUAGCAUGUGGAAGUU
rnacentral:lncRNA from 1 species